AUUGCUUCAUUUAGCAGCGCUUUUUGCUGUACUCGGCGCGUCCGAUGCCCAAAACAACGCGCGCGGCUCGCUCAGAGUUAACGGUGAACAUCCACGAUCGGUGCAAAACGCCGGGGCUUUGGGAUCUGUCAAGAGCACACAAAUUAUCCGUGAUUUUUUUUUUCUCUCCCUCUUCUCUCCCCCUUUCCAAAAUGGCGCACGGGACAUGGAGCGGUGACGUCAUGUACGCAUGCCACACUCGCGCGUCCUCCUCCAUCCUGCUUCAGCAUCACCAAGGUUUCGCAAAGUUUCUCAAGCAACGUUUGGAGUCUGACUGCUAAACUACACUGUACACUGUCUGAAGCACUAUCAUGCAGAAACACAGCUGUCAUGUCAUAGCCAAGAGGAUCAGGGCCACAUUCAGCAGACACGCCGCCUCCGGAGAAGACGCCAUUUUCCGAGGAAAAUAUGGCUCAUUACCAGCGCGGGCAAAAUGAAGCAUCCAUCCGCCUUGGCGAGCACGAAGCCAGAAGACCCAGCAGAUGAGCGUGCUUGAGGUCCUUGAUAUAAUUUGCAUGCGCAGAUCACCGGAGGUCAGACGCGGAGGACGCGCCGCUGCUUCCACUCUUCAUUGGAGCCGGCGCAUUCCAUGCAGAAGUGUGAAAAAUUGGCGACAAAAGUUAAUCUGUCAUCAUGCGUGAUGUCACCAUAUCAUGUGAGACUUUACACUUUUUCAGCCAGCAACUAUUUAUGCAGAUUGUUUUUAUUGCUUUUUAUUUGGCUUUUUUGCAAGCUUUACUAUUCCAAAAGAAGCAAAGACAAAAUCCAGGAGUAAUUG